AGAGUUUGAUCAUGGCUCAGAACGAACGCUGGCGGCGCGCCUAAUACAUGCAAGUCGAGCGAGAAGACGUAGCAAUACGUUUGUAAAGCGGCGAACGGGUGAGGAAUACAUGGGUAACCUACCCUCGAGUGGGGAAUAACUAGCCGAAAGGUUAGCUAAUACCGCAUACGACUCUCGAUCUUCGGAUCGGGAGGGAAAGCGAUACCGUGGGUAUCGCGCUCUUGGAUGGGCUCAUGUCCUAUCAGCUUGUUGGUGAGGUAACGGCUCACCAAGGCUUCGACGGGUAGCUGGUCUGAGAGGACGAUCAGCCACACUGGCACUGCGACACGGGCCAGACUCCUACGGGAGGCAGCAGUAAGGAAUAUUGCGCAAUGGGCGACAGCCUGACGCAGCGACGCCGCGUGGGGGAUGAAGGUCUUCGGAUUGUAAACCCCUUUCGGCAGGGAAGAUGGAACGGGUAACCGUUCGGACGGUACCUGCAGAAGCAGCCACGGCUAACUUCGUGCCAGCAGCCGCGGUAAUACGAAGGUGGCAAGCGUUGUUCGGAUUUACUGGGCGUACAGGGAGCGUAGGCGGUUGGGUAAGCCCUCCGUGAUAUCUCCGGGUCUAACCCGGAAAGGGCGGAGGGCACUGCUCGGCUAGAGGAUGGGAGAGGAGCGCGGAAUUCCCGGUGUAGCGGUGAAAUGCGUAGAGAUCGGGAGGAAGGCCGGUGGCGAACGCUGCGCUCUGGAACAUUUCUGACGCUGAGGCUCGAAAGCGUGGGGAGCAAACAGGAUUAGAUACCCUGCUAGUCCACGUCUUAAACGAUGGAUACUAAGUGUCGGCGGGCUACCGUCGGUGCGCAGCUACGCAGGAGUAUUCCGCUGGGAAGUACGGC
rnacentral:rRNA from 1 species